CCUACGGGUGGCAGCAGUGGGGAAUCUUGCACAAUGGGGGAAACCCUGAUGCAGCGACGCCGCGUGAGUGAAGAAGUAUUUCGGUAUGUAAAGCUCUGUCAGCAGGGAAGAAAAUGACGGUACCUGACCAAGAAGCCCCGGCUAACUACGUGCCAGCAGCCGCGGUAAUACGUAGGGGGCAAGCGUUAUCCGGAUUUACUGGGUGUAAAGGGAGCGUAGACGGGAGGGCAAGUCUGGGGUGAAAGGCGGGGGCUCAACCCGCGGAAUGCACUUGAAACUGCGAGGCGGGAGUUAAGGAGAGGUAAGUGGAAUUCCCUGGGUAGGCGUGAAAAGCGUCGAUA
rnacentral:rRNA from 1 species